CAAUGUCACUACCGGCAAAGAGAUGUGGUAGACCCCCUGUACUGUCCUGCUUGGAAAAGAAAAAGAGGAAGCAAAGUCUCGAUAGAAGAAGAGGGAAAACAAGAAUCUAUGUGGGAAAUCAUAUUGAUAGAUGGUUGACGCUUAAGGAAAAAUUGGAUUUCAGAAAUGAUGCAGAAGUUGCAGGAUUUUUACUAGAUUUAUAUGACAACUAUGACCCAUUGUCAAAAGCAUCAAUAUGUUCCCUGCCUGAAGAUGUGAGAAGAAUUACAGUGAAAGGGGAAAGAGAGUUGCCAGAUGACACUUCUUUAAUAGCAGCGGAUGGAACGUAUGACAAUGAUGACCAGUUGUCUAAAGAAUCUACUUGUUCUGGACCCGAAGAUGUAAGAAUCAUAACUGUGAAAGAAGAGAGGGAUUUGCCUGAUGACUGUUCAACUGAGACUGAUGACACUGCUGUGUUCUUCGAGGCAACCACACCAUCAGUCGACUCUACUGAUUUCUUUUACUGCAAUACCAACAAUAACUGAGGCAUUCACAGUUGAGAUCAAAGGAGCCUCAAAUAGGGGACACUGAGAGCCUAGGACAUUACAAUGGCAUUGCAUGGUGUGUCCAAACCCCUCGCUAAUAUGGUGAAAUUAACUAACUGGAGUUUCUGAAAGUGAGUCCUCUUGUGAUUCAGAAGAAUGUUUGGAAAAACGGAGUGAAUUGCAAAAUCAGUGAAGUGGAUAAAUUCAAGUACAUUCAAGUUGGCAUCUUAUUCUGACAACAGAACUUCAGUUUGCUUUAGAAAGCAGCAAGGAUCUAAGAUUGACUUUGUGAGAUUGAUAUAUCAUGGGCUGGCCAACAAGAAGAAUAUCAAGCGUUUACAUAAUGGUGCUGAGACAUUUUUGAUCCCUUCUGGUUUUGCUGUGAGGAUGUUAUUUAUUAUGGAGAACUUAUUGUAAGUUGUAGUAUAAAAUUCCAUGUUAAUUGUCAAG